ACCUGGGUGGCUCAUCGGUUGAGUGUCUGACUUCAGCUCAGGUCAUAAUUUCGCGGUCUGGUCCGUGAGUUCGAGCCCCACAUCAGGCU
rnacentral:tRNA from 1 species